ACUGAGUUAUCAGCCCCACCAGAAACAAUCCAUCGGCCAUCAGGAGUAAAUUUAAGCACAUUAAUUCGUUGGGUAUGACUAGAGAUGUCAAUGGGGAAUUCCCCAUCGGGUUAUAACAUCUCAUACCCAUCCUCAUCAUGUUUGAUCCAUCCCCAUACCCAUCCCCAUACCCAUCAUGGGUACAAAACUCAUCCCAUACCCAUCCCCAUUCGGGUUUUAGGUCCCCAAUGGGUCCUCAUCCCCAAUUAAGGGAUAACUAGGUACUAGCAUGUAGCACAAACAAUCUAGAUUUCAGACAUCACUACAUCGACAAGCACUCAUCCAUGAACCAUGAUCCAUUCAUCCAUCCAUCAGAAAAGACAUAAGUACUUCGGGACCGAUAGAAGAAAUGGAGAAAUGGAGGUUUCUCACCUUCCUUGGUCACCAUCUGAGUUUGUUGGCGCCUGAGAAUCCAUGGUCGUCACCGUCGUCCGGGCAGGGCGUAGCAUAUGGCUGGUUAUUUUAGGGUUUUAUUUUUUUACUAGUCUGCUAGUUGCCUUGUUGGGCUAGGACCUGGGGCCUGGUGCGCUGUCAUGCUGGGUUUGGUGGCCGGCUCGGCCUCAACUCAUUCAUACAAACACGACAGGUGUAAACGUAUGAAAUACCCAUGGGUAAUCGGGUUCAGAUUAUUGCUUCCCAAACCCAUACCCGUUUACCCAAUGGGUGGAGAUUUUGUCACAUAUCCAUACCCAUGGGGACAAUUUUCGUUCCAUACCCGUACCCUAAUAGGAGAAUUCCCCACGGGUUGGCGGGUAUCGGGUCCCCAUUGACAUCUCUAGGUAUGACCCUUGUAUGUGUGGAUGCAUCUCUUCUGUUGAGUAUCCCAUAUUUUCAUGUUUGUAUCUGAAGACCCAGUGGCUAAGAAUUCUCCAAAAGGAUGGAAAUCAAGAGAUGCACAGCUUGAUCUGUGUCCAGUGAAAGUUCGAACAACUGCACAUUAUGCAAAUUGUCAAUAGAAACUGAGAUUAUUGCAAGACAUAGUUGCAGUUCAUGUUUUCAAUGCACUGACUGUUGAGUACCAACACU
rnacentral:lncRNA from 1 species